UAAUAAUUAAUAUUUUUAAUUUUAUUCAGUAAUUAAAUAAAAUAAAUAAAUAAAUGGAAUAUAUUUGAACACAUACAGACUCUUACAUACCUCCUUGAAAUAAUUACAUUAUUUGUCAUACAGCCUGAAAUCAAAUCACAUUCCAAAUAACUUUUAUCAGCCUUUGGAAUAUUUCUGUUGCCUUCUCUUAAUCUGUGCCUUUCUACAACUUCAUCCCGAAGGUCUUUUGAAUGUACUGUGUGUAAA
rnacentral:lncRNA from 1 species